AGUGAACGCUGGCGGUAGGCCUAACACAUGCCAGUCGAACGGCAGCACAGUAAGAGCUUGCUCUUACGGGUGGCGAGUGGCGGACGGGUGACGAAUACAUCGGAAUCUACUUUUUCGUGGGGGAUAACGUAGGGAAACUUACGCUAAUACCGCAUACGACCUACCGGUGAAAGCAGGGGAUCUUCGGACUUUGCGCGAUUGUAUUAGCCGAUGUCGGAUUAGCUAGUUGGCGGGGUAAAGGCACACCAAGGCGACGAUCCGUAGCUGGUCUGAGAGGAUGAUCAGCCACACUGGAACUGAGACACGGUCCAGACUCCUACGGGAGGCAGCAGUGGGGAAUAUUGGACAAUGGGCGCAAGCCUGAUCCAGCAAUACCGCGUGAGUGAAGAAGGCCUUCGGGUUGUAAAGCCCUUUUGUUGGGAAAGAAAAGCAGCAGGUUAAUACCCCGCUGUUCUGACGGUACCCAAAGAAUAAGCACCGGCUAACUUCGUG
rnacentral:rRNA from 1 species